AUGGCUCUGCAGAAACUCUUCUAUAUCUCAAUUUUCCUGCUAGUAUGCACAGCCACGGAAAUCAACCCAGAAGCAGAGGCACUACUCCGAUGGAAGUCCAGUUUGAUCCGCGCCGACUCGCUGUCCUCCUGGUCGGUUGCCAACUCUACAUGUUCUUGGUACGGUGUCACCUGUGACACUGCCGGACAUGUUACUGAGGUCCAACUUCGUAGUGCGGGGAUCAAUGGUACGCUACACGCCUUCUACUCUACAGUGCUUCAAAACCUCACAGUGCUUGACCUUGGGGCAAAUAACCUUGGUGGUGUUAUCCCAGCAAAUAUAUCUUUGUUUCUAACCCUCACCGUUAUGAACUUGAGCAGCAACAAUCUUGUUGGUGUCAUCCCCUACCAACUCAGCAAGCUACCAAUAAUUAUCAAAUUAGAUUUGGGAAAUAACAAGCUUACCAACCCAGAAUAUGCCAAUUUCUCACCUAUGUCCACUUUAAAGCUGUUAUCUCUAGCUAAUAACAAUCUCAGUGGUACCUUCCCACAAUUCAUCCUCAACUGCACCCAUGUGAGGAUGAGGUUCCUCGAUUUAUCAGGUAACGCCUUCACAGGGCCGUUACCAGAUUCACUGCCGGAGAUUGUACCAAGGUUGAGGUAUCUAAAUCUGUCCAUUAAUUUAUUCUCUGGCUCCAUACCUUGCUCACUCUCAAGGCUCCAAAAGCUAGAGAUACUAACACUCAAGAGAAAUAAUCUCACAGGAGGAAUCCCAGAGGUGCUGGGGAUGAUACCUGGACUCCGAUAUCUUUCACUAUCCGUUAACCCACUUGGUGGGUCAAUUCCAGCCUCACUCGGUCAGCUUCAGUUGCUGGAGACGCUCGGCCUCGGAUAUGCUAGCUUGGUUUCUACUAUUCCACCUGAACUGGGAAACCUUACUAGCCUCCGUAUUCCGCAAGAGAUGUUUACAAACUGGACCAAGCUCAAGCAUUUUGAUGUAAGCGACAACUUGUUAGCUGGAAGCAUCCCUUCUCAGAUCAGCAAGUGGAAGGAGCUACUGUGUCUCCUCCUUUCCCGCAACAACUUUACUGGCUCGAUCCCGGUGGAGGUUGGCAGCAUGCCAAAUUUGCAAGCAUUGGACUUGUCGAAGAACCACCUCACUGGAAUUAUGCCAUCAAAUAUCGGUAAUGCAUCAUCUUUGAAACUCCUUCGUGCCAGCUUCAACCAUCUUGAGGGUGAGAUUCCUGCAACCAUCUCCUCGCUGGUAAACCUUGUUGCUCUCUUCUUGUCUGACAACAAGUUUACGGGUAUCGGUCCUAAUCUUGACAGCAAGCAGUUGCCAGUUGUCAAAGUGGCCAAGAAUAGCGGGUUCCUGGGAAAACCAUUGUAUGUCUUUUGUCAACUAACACUUCUGCGAAUCUUGGAUCUAUCGAACAAUCAGUUUUUGAGAGAUCUACAAUUCUUGGAUUUGUCGAGCAAUGCUUUUGCUGGGGUAGUUCCAACCUCAGCUAACUGCAAUUCGUCGCUAAGUUUGUUGCACUUGUCCAACAACAAGUUCACAGGUUGCUUUCCAGCAGUGUUGAAGAACUUCAAAAGCCUUGUUAUUUUGGAUCUUGGGAACAAUAAGAUGUCU
rnacentral:rRNA from 1 species